rnacentral:lncRNA from 1 species
GGCAACUUAGUUGGCAUGUUUGAUAUAGCAUACAUUGAUUAUGUAAAACAUCUGUUUAUGAUAUUGUUAGAAGCUUUUGUGAUAUUAAGUAUAACAUUUUGAUGUUGAGUAAUUCAUUUAUUCAAGAGAACUUGUAUUUAAAUCAUUUGGUUCUACUUGUUAGAAUGUGGCUAAAAUAAAAAUAUAUACUUGUAAUGGUAUUGAUAUUUUGUUUUUAAUGAUUCUUAAGAAUUUAAUAUAUAAAACUAUAAGAACUAUUGUUUUUACAACUCACUAUUGUUUGAUAUUGUGGUAAGUUUUUUCUAUAGACUAGUAAAAUAUAUAAUCUAUACAUUGCAAUCAAAAUUUAUGAUAUUAAUUUAUUAUCA